rnacentral:snRNA from 1 species
GCUAUCUCUGUCCGAGUUGAGCU